rnacentral:lncRNA from 1 species
UAAGGUGAACUAGGUUGCCCUCAGUCUCUUUACAGAUUACACCCCGUUUCCUUUACCACGCUGCUAAGUAAUUCUUAGGGAAUUAUUCCCCCUCCAAAUUCUCUCUGCUAACAGAGUGAUCGGCCACAUAUGCUUCCACUUUACGCACCUCUGGACAGCGGGUGUCUUCAUAAAGCUGCCCGCCUCUCAAACGUGCAGGCUGGAGCUGCAAUCUUUCCACCCACCCUUUUCCCGUGAGGAAAAAUCGUGGGAAUGUUCAGAAGACCCACGUGGUUGGCGUGCACACUUGUGCCUGGGCGGGGCUCCCGUGAAGAUCACCAUACCUGGAAUUGUGUAUAGUGCACCAGUUUGUUCUGACACAGCGGAAGCCCUUCAUCCUUUUGCUCACCCGAUGGUUCUAUAAAAGCGAUUUCUCACUCUCGGGCUUUGCAGGAGCCAGCGUGGUUGCCAACGACUUCGGUCCCCACCCAGUACAACUUCAGCACGGGUGCCCUAAAAAAGGAAACCUGUUUCCCUCCUCCCAAGUUUCUGGUUUCUCCACCCAGUCUCCCCACAGCCCUCUGCUCCCGCACCCAGGCCUUCCGGCCUCCGCCCAGCCUCGGAGCGGCGCCCGACAUUCCAGCUUCCACUUUGAUCCUUACAAAUGAAAAGGCACGGCUGGCCGUGGAGUGUUCGGCCGUGAACGAAGCUGCGGGACAGAGGCAGCGCCAUCUCAGUCCGUCUGUCCGUCAGUCCAGGAGGAGCAGGCCGCGCGGGUGCUCCGGGAGCUGCGGCGCCACGCUGCCCGCAGGCUGCACGGGGAGCCCACUGGCAGGCCUGGGCUGUCACUUCCCGCCUCUGCCCUCCCCAGCUUGCCCUUGACAGCUCUCUUCUUUGAUCUGUAAAAUGGGAGACAAUAGGAGACACUUUGAUAUUCUUCAAAAGCUGCGGGGAUUUGCUGUUUUCUCCCGAAAUAAAGGGCUUGUAGAGAGUUUCUUUGAGAACUGGAAGGAACAUGCUGUCACAUGUAAUCUAACGAGCUCGGCCUCCUCUUCCAGUGCCCAUUAAUCAAUCAUCCAACACUGGAAACCUGUGGCAAGGCUUCUGUGUGCUGUGGAGAAGCAAGGGCAUGGUCUCUGCUUUUAAAGCAUUUAUGGGCUAGCUGGGGAGAUGAACUGUGUAUAUAUGAGCAUAAAACAUGACAAUAGCCAACAUUUAUGGAGUACGCCCCGUGUGCCAGGCUCAGUGUGGCGCUCUCCUUUACUCCUCUGACACCCCAUCAAGUAUGUGCUGUGUUAUCAUCUCCAUUUUAUAGACUUUUUAGCAGGAUCACUUGCCCUCCGGGUCACACAGUGUGCGGGCAAGUCAGACUGUGCAUACAGGCCUGGCUGACUGCAGAGGAAGGAGCUGCGUUUGCAAGCUCGAAUCUGUGCAGCGUUCAGUGAAGGGAUCGUCCAUCAUAGGCACUCAGUAGACAUGCUGACUAGUUGAUUUCGCGUGAAGUGGCCUUUUCCUUGACGAUGUAGAGCAAGACCCCUUCAUGUCGGUGGCAUAUAAUCUCCAAAUCACAUUGUGAGAUUAGUUCCUGAUGUUUAACUGAGCUCACAGAAACAAGAUGGAAGGUUUAUCAAUGAGUUGCCUCUAGGAAACACCUGAUAAGGACCUGAUUUUGAUGAUCGGAUCCUGUACUUCCAGCCUGAGCCUAAGCCAGAGCCUGACGCCAUAGUGGACAGUCCGGGGAAGGAAUGAGUAUAUUUUUCAUGUGAGAGGCGUGGUAGCAUUUGUGGCCAGAGGGAUAGCUGUGGCAGUUUUAAAACACAGCUGCAAAUUCAUUGAGACAUGGGGUCGUGUCCACUUUCCUUGAAUCUGGGUGGACUUACGGCUGCUUUGAAAAAUAGAGUAUGACAGAAAUGAUGCUGUGUGACUUCCAAGGCUAGGUGAUAUAAGACCUGGCAGUUUCUUCUUGGUUCACUGCAAUACUUGCUCUGGAACCCUGAACUGCCAAGCCUUGAAGUGUCCACUGUGGCCACUUCGCAUUGCCAAGCAAGAGGUGACCACUCAGAGACCAUCGUCCUGGAGAGUCCUCUCAUAAGGGUUCUGGUCAACAACUCCUGCUGAGUCCACCCUUCCGGUCAUCCCUGCCAAGGUGUAAGACUUGGUAGUGAAGCAGUUGUGGACCCUUCAGACAAGCCCAGCUGCUCGUUAAAUACCCUUGGAUUACUUACCUUAACACCACGUGGAACAGACGAAUCACCCAGCUGAGCCCUGCCCAAAUUACAGACCCAAACUGUGAGAGAUGAUGAAAUGGUUGUUCUAAGCCACUGAGUUUUGAGGCAGUUUGUUAUGCAGAAAUGGGUGCAUUCCUCCUAGUUUGGCUACCAAGAAAAGAUUUCUCACUGUGUUUUACCUGCUGCAAAAUUGGGAAUUCCAGAAAUCUCACAGUGUCCAGAUGAAUUUUCUUUCUGAAUCUGGGAUGCAGCACCCUUUUUUGAAAGACAAAGAGAGUAAAUUGUGGGAAUAAGAAGCUUGGAAGGGGCAGUGGUGAAAUGAUAGGAUUUUGCUGAGAUUUCAUUGAAGAUCUUGACUAUGAACCAAAACUUCUUUGCUUGUGGAGUGGAGAGAAAAGUGAAGAAUAUGAUGGACACCAUUAUGGUGACAAUGAAGAGGAAAACAGCAACUUGUCAAUUCCCCACUCGGGGCAGUCAGAGGUCUCCAGAGAGGGGACAAGGGCAAGGAAGAAACUGAAGAUGCAGUCCGCUCCGACUUAUUUAACAGGCCAGCUUGAACAGGGCACUAGAUAAGCGAGUGUCACAAUUCCUGGUCCGUGGUUUUUUUAAUGCCAACCAUUUAUUUGAACAGAGGGCAAUUUGGGUAGGCAGCUACAUGAUUUAUUGCCAUGCUGACCUGAUCAGGGACUGCGAGGAGAAGAGCAGUAGUUCUGAGGUGUCCCAGAAGUUCUCAGACCUGCAUGGAUUUUGAUGGUUGAAUUUACAUAUUUCUGCAUAGCCAUAAAACACUCCUUCCUUUGUUCCUACUCAAGAUUCCGCCCAGGUCCCUGCCCAGUCCCUCCCUGAGGCAAUCUUAGGGAGCUGCCUAUCAGAGAACCUCAAUGGGAUCACGUUGUGGGGUCCUUUCAUUAUCGUAUAAUUAUACCCUGGGAGGCCCGGUGGUCCCUUUACGUUUCAGCUCUCUGGUGACAUUUCAUGUUAAGUUCAACUGUGUGCUUCUCACUGUCCUUGUACUUUUGGUUCUGGUUUUUGAUGGAGGCCCAUUUUUCUUAGAAUAUUUUUUACUUUCAUUUUCUUGUUUCUAAAGCAGUAUGACACCUACUUUCUAUUACUUGUUAUUCUCCAUCAACGUCACUUAACAAGAAAGCUAAAAAUUAAUGUAUGCUUUAUAUAUUUAGUUUGUGUGUUGACAAAUAAAAAUGGCAAACAAUAGGAUAUAUUGGAGAAUAUGAGGAAGCCAUUUGGUAUAAACCUAAUCCCCGCCCUGUCUUUCCAAAAGGGCCUGACGGGCUGUUGAGCAUGCAUUGUCUAUCUGCUUUAGAUAUUCCCUAUGGCAAGAACAAACGCCCUUGAGAUAAAGGUGCAACUUCCCUCCCACUCCCAAGUUGGCAUUCCCUUAAGGAUUAAGCAUCUUUCCUUAGGCUAGGAACUGAUUGCUGCGCUCACCUGUGACCACCCAGCUCGAGACAAUAGGCGUGCCUCCUGCUAUGCCCGCUGAGAUAGCAGACCCACUACCUGCUGUGUCCAUCAAGUGCUGUGCCGACAGGGCAAUCUUGUGACUAUUGUGGGAGGGACAUUUCAAUCAUAUGUGAAACGUCCUGGUUGGGGGUAUACAACCACUCUGUAUACCUCACUUCUUUUGUGCCCUUUCUUCUGGAAGAAAGGCCCUGGGCCAUGGUCCUCAGAUUUCAGCUGAGAAUAAACUCACCGAAAUUUUCAUUUAUAGAUUGGUUAUGGAUUAUUUUCACUGACAGUGUCUUUUUUCUUUUACACGUAUUUAAUGGAGCAGAUAGGCGAAGUAAGAAUUGGGCUGGAAAAUAACCAUAGGACGUAGAGAAUUUUUAAGGUGAGAAGAGGUUUACAGAAAAGAAAGUUGAAAGAAGAAUGCCAGAGUGGAGGUGGAGAGAAUUGUUACCAGCCAACAAAUGUAUGUGUGUGUUUCUGAUGAAAGCCCUUUUUCCAGAAUGUGUAGAGAACUGUGUAGAGAAUUAUUUAAAAAUAAAAAAGGACCGUCCAGUAGACAAACGUGCAAAAGACUUUAAUAGAUACUUCUUAAAAGUGAGUAUCCAAAUGGCUAAUAAAUCAUAUGAAAAUGUGCCCCACAUCAUUGCUCAUCAGGGAAUUUAAAUUAAAGCCACAAUGCAAUAAUACUACACCUCGACUAGGAGGAUGAAAAUUAAAAGACAAUAUCCAAUGUUGGUAACGGUAGAGCAGGUGGAAUUCUGGGGUACUAUUAGUGAGAGUGUGAAUUGGUAUAAUCACUUUGAAAAAAUAUUUGGUAGGCUCUAUUAAAGUUGAAUAUAUGCAAAAUUUAUGAGCCAGAAAUUCCACUUGUAGGUAUGUAUUCAAUGGAAAUAUGUACUCACUAAAAGACAUGUAUAAGAGUUCAUAACAGCACUAUUUAUAAUAGACCAAAACUGGAAACAACUCAAAUAUUCAUUAAAAAGAUUAUAAAUUAUUAGACACUUCACGAGCCAGGUAAAUAAUCAGCAUGGAUCCAACAGAAAGAUAGCUGGAUGACAAUUCUUUGUGAACCUGGACAUGGUGUUGGUGUUAGAAGCCUGGGGUCCAGCUGAGGGUGUAGCUGGAGCCUAAGUGCUAUGAGUUACCCUUUUCACAUAAAUGGUAGGUGGCAUGGCUGAUGUGCCACCUCUGUCUUUGUGAGAUGUCUGAACAUCCUCUUUCAAUCUUUCCUACAGUUUUUCCCUCAUGAGGACAAGACCCAGAAUUGCAAGCAUCUGGUGGCAUUUAAAUGAACUAUCUGUCCACCAUUUAUUUCACGGAUUGAGAAUAAGCAGAUUGUUCUUUAAAAAAUUCUACUAAGCGCUAUGUAGUACCCUGGAGAUCUUGGAAUAGUACAAGGGCAUUAGUGGAAAAAAUUGGUGGUUCGAAUAAAUUCUGUGAUUUAGUUAAUUGUACUGUACCAAUGUCCACUUCUUAGUUUCGACAAAUGUACCAUAAUUCUGUCAGUGUUAACAUUAGGGACAACUGGGUGAAGCCUAUAAAGGAAUUCUUUGUAUUCUCC